AUUGAACGCUGGCGGCAUGCCUUACACAUGCAAGUCGAACGGCAGCACGGGAGCAAUCCUGGUGGCGAGUGGCGAACGGGUGAGUAAUAUAUCGGAACGUGCCCAGUCGUGGGGAUAACGUAGCGAAAGCUACGCUAAUACCGCAUACGAUCUAUGGAUGAAAGCGGGGGAUCGCAAGACCUCGCGCGAUUGGAGCGGCCGACAUCAGAUUAGGUAGUUGGUGAGGUAAAGGCUCACCAAGCCGACGAUCUGUAGCUGGUCUGAGAGGACGACCAGCCACACUGGAACUGAGACACGGUCCAGACUCCUACGGAGGCAGCAGUGGGAAGUUUUGGACAAUGGACGCAAGUCUGAUCCAGCCAUCCGCGUGCAGGAUG
rnacentral:rRNA from 1 species